rnacentral:lncRNA from 1 species
UUGUCUUCUUUAUCAAACUGCCAAUUAUUGACUGAAGUAGAAUUUUCACUCAAUCAGCUCAAUGAUAUGCUUCCUGCUUCAAUAGGCAACUUCUCCGCUGCUUUUCAGAUUUUCAGAGCGUUUGGAUGUGGAAUCACAGGUUCCAUUCCUGCUGAAAUUGGCAACUUGAUCAACUUACGUGACUUGUAUUUGGACAGCAAUGAGCUAACAGGAUCCAUACCAAGCACACUGGGAAAUCUAAGCCAACUCAUACGCGUAUAUCUCGAGUACAACAAGCUUCAAGGGUACAUCCCCGGAUACCUUUG